CUUUUUAGGGGCAAAAACACAUGCGCCCGAGCCAGGGAGCUCAGCUCUGCACCAGGCGCUCGCCCCGACCCCAUCUUCCUCCGCCGCCUCGCCGCACCGGCCGGCAUCACCGGAGAUCACCGCCACCGGGAACAGGUCACGUCGCCGCACCUGCCUUCUCCUUCUCCCUCUUCAUCCUCCCUUCCUCUCACCAUCUCUCUCUCCCUCCCAUUGCAGCGCCGCCAUGGCUGUCCCGAGCUUUGCCGGCAGCCGCGCCGCGUGAAUCCGGCCGGAUCUAGCCGCCCUUGCCCAGAUCCGCAUCCUCCGCUCCGCCGCGCCCCGGAUUCGGCCACUACCAAGCCUCCCAUCCGCCGGCCUUCCCCUGCUCGACUCGGGUGGACGGGCGAAGUUUCUGACUUGCCAUUAUAGUUGACCUGAAGCUCCGUUGUUUAGGACCAUUGCUGCUGCUGUAGGUUAGGGAGAAGGCUCGAGGCAGCCACGAAUUCCGUCCUGCACUACUUCAACACCGACCUAUUCUAGCAUGAAUCUUCUGCCGUGAGGAUUUGAUGCAGCAAGGGCCAUUUGUUUGACAGAAACAGAGUGGUUACCGCAAGAGAGGUACAAAUCAAGGACCGAGGAGGGACGAGGGCGGCUUUGAUCUAAGUUGGGUCACUUUCUAUGAAUAGAUGAUGUGAUUGCUUUGUUAUUUUGUUUAAUUAAUAGAAAAAUUGAUGAGGCAAUUGGAAGAAUCAAGCAGGAAUUUUACUACAUAUCUGCGCCAUUGAUUUGGUCAUCUCUGUCACUAGCAAGUUGCAUAAGAAAGAGUGUGGUGUUGUAGAGGCGUGUAUAGUUGUGAGUCCCUCGAUUAUAAAGCGGAUCCAGGUGAAAGAUGUAGGUGGUGUGCGGAUUGAACUCUAGAUCGGGAACCUACAGUACUAGAUGGACGAUAACUAUGCUUACAAUUGUUGACCGAACACUGUGAGGUAUGUGCCUGUCCCUCUUCCACCCAUAUCAACAUGUAAUUUUGUAAGAAGCUAAUUUAGUGUAGCAAGAACAUCAUAUUUUAGAUACGGUCUGCAGAUCGAUGUACUUUGUCCGUCUUUCCUUCACCAAAGCAUGCGUUGUGAGAUCAUGAUUACUACCAGGUAGUACAACAUUGCAAUUUAUUUUCCAGAAUGUUCCUUGAACACACUCCCAAGUUCCCAACCAUCAGUAAUUAUAGUCUCCUCAAUUCAGAUGCAUAAUUACAUAAUAUUGUUAUACAUGCUGCUUAAGUUGAUCACCAUUAUGCUGUUAAUUGGACCUCAAGAAUAGAGAU
rnacentral:rRNA from 1 species